AUACGUAGGGGGCGAGCGUUGUCCGGAAUGAUUGGGCGUAAAGGGCGCGUAGGCGGCUUUGCAAGUCAGUAGUGGAAGUCCAUUUUUCAAGGAUGGAAAUGCUACAGAAACUGCGGAGCUUGAGUGCAGGAGAGGUUAUCGGAAUUCCCGGUGUAGCGGUGAAAUGCGUAGAGAUCGGGAGGAACACCAGUGGCGAAGGCGGGUAAUUGGGCUGCAACUGAGGCUGGGGCGGGAAAGUGUGGGGAGAAAACAGGAUUAGAUACCCUGGUAGGCCACGCCGUAAACGAUGAAUACUAGGUGUAGGGGGUAUCGACUCCCUCUGUGCCGCAGUUAACACAAUAAGUAUUCCGCCUGGGGAGUACGGCCGCAAGGUUGAAACUCAAAUGAAUUGGCGGGG
rnacentral:rRNA from 1 species